rnacentral:rRNA from 1 species
UCCAGACUCCUACGGGAGGCAGCAGUCGAGAAUCAUUCACAAUGGGGGAAACCCUGAUGCAGCGACGCCGCGUGUGGGAAGACGGUCCUCUGGAUUGUAAACCACUGCCCCCAGGGACGAAGAUGACGGUACCUGGGGAGGAAGCUCCGGCUAACUCCGUGCCAGCAGCCGCGGUAAUACGGAGGAUGCGAGCGUUAUCCGGAUUUAUUGGGUUUAAAGGGUGCGCAGGCGGCACGGCAAGCCGGCGGUCAAAUCGCGGGGCUCAACCCCGCCCAGCCGUCGGAACUGCCGGGCUAGAGUGGGCGAGAAGUGCGCGGAAUGCGUGGUGUAGCGGUGAAAUGCAUAGAUAUCACGCAGAACUCCGAUUGCGAAGGCAGCGCACCGGCGCCCUACUGACGCUCAGGCACGAAAGCGUGGGUAUCGAACAGGAUUAGAUACCCGGGUAAA